rnacentral:sRNA from 1 species
CCUCCAUGUGCUGUGAUCCCAGCUCCUGCCCCAUCUGCCUCCUCUGGAAGCCUCCCUGGCCCAGCUCUGCACCAGGCGGUGCCUGGGUGACCGGUGAUGGGUGAUGUAGUGCCAGGAACCAGGCCAUCACCUUUGGUACACCCAGUCCUGUGAUUUGAGGCUCAAAAAGGGAACCCUGGAGCUGUGCAGGGCUCGCGGCCUGGCAAGAAUGUACAGCUGACAGAGAACGAGAUCCGCGGUCUGUGCUUGAAAUCCCGGGAGAUUUUCCUGAGCCAGCCCAUUCUUCUGGAGCUGGAGGCACCCCUCAAGAUCUGCGGUGACAUACACGGCCAGUACUACGACCUUCUGCGACUAUUUGAGUAUGGCGGUUUCCCUCCCGAGAGCAACUACCUCUUUCUGGGGGACUAUGUGGACAGGGGCAAGCAGUCCUUGGAGACCAUCUGCCUGCUGCUGGCGUAUAAGAUCAAGUACCCCGAGAACUUCUUCUUGCUCCGUGGGAACCACGAGUGUGCCAGCAUCAACCGCAUCUAUGGUUUCUACGAUGAGUGCAAGAGACGCUACAACAUCAAACUGUGGAAAACCUUCACUGACUGCUUCAACUGCCUGCCCAUCGCAGCCAUAGUGGACGAAAAGAUCUUCUGCUGCCACGGAGGCCUGUCCCCGGACCUGCAGUCUAUGGAGCAGAUUCGGCGGAUCAUGCGGCCCACAGAUGUGCCUGACCAGGGCCUGCUGUGUGACCUGCUGUGGUCUGACCCUGACAAGGACGUGCAGGGCUGGGGCGAGAACGACCGUGGCGUCUCUUUUACCUUUGGAGCCGAGGUGGUGGCCAAGUUCCUCCACAAGCACGACUUGGACCUCAUCUGCCGAGCACACCAGGUGG